rnacentral:snRNA from 1 species
GGAUAUGAGGGCGUUCUGGCUGUGGUAUCUGCCAACCCACUGAUCGCCAGGGUUAAUUUGACUGAUCUGGCUGGCUAGGCAGAUGUCUCAUUUCUCCCUCACCACUCCAUGUGCCUCCCUUCUGAAGCUGCCUGUGUGCUGGGUCAAAGAGGACUGACUGCCUUCCCUGAAUAGAAACUGACCAGUCUUCAGUAUAGAGUAUAUGAGUAGCUAUGCUCCCCUGCUAGAACCUCCAAACAAGCUCUCAAGCUUUUAGUGACCAUGAUGUAACCAUUUUCCAUUUUAGGAUUUAUGGGAUAAACACACAGACAGU